UGGUGAGACAGCACCAUUCCUUCCAGGAGCUGAAAGAAGGCCCCUGAGGUUGAAAUGAGGUGGAGGGGAAUGAGAGGGCGGUAAAGGGUGCAGAAACAGGCAGGAGCCUGAAGGACUGGCCUGGACUGUUCUGUGUGCCCAACAGCAACUGGCGGGCCUGGCCUCUGGAUGGAAAGAAGACCUACCAGAAGGGCAGGAGACACCAAAAAGACUGAGGUGAACUUCAGCUUGCCCAGUUUUCAGGUCUGCAAUUCCAGGUGCAUGUGGUGGGUCUGCCACUUCCAUAGAUAUUGGAAGGUACUCAAUAUUGUAUGAACAUUCUCUGGUGGUUCGUGAAAUCAUGGUGACUUGGGUCUGGGCCCAAUCUCAAUUCAUUUGCAAGGAGUCAAUCUGAAGACCUGUGACCACAAUGAGGAAUUUCAAAGGGGAUCUUCAGUACUGCCUGGAUAUUUUAAAUGGACAACCAGAUAGCACAGGAAGCAGCCCAGCUCCAGAUUCUAGGCUCGCAGAUGGUGAUGCUGGAAAGGGGAAAAGAAACUAUUUUCUAUUCCAGGUUGGUUGAAUCUGCAGAGAAGGGACCCACAGAUAUGGAGCACCCACUGUUUACCAGACACUGAGCUAGUGCAAUUAGGAAACUCAUCCCUAGAAAGCAAAGUUGCUUUCUGUGACUGGUGAGCAGAGGCAGAAAAUGAAAGGCCGGCUCUUCCUUGGCACUGCUGCCCAUCACUAAGAGGCGGGAAUGACUGGUGAACUUGGCUGAUUCAGGAAAAUGCCAUCUGCAUCUUCUCCUAGGAAGCAGAUGGUCUUCACAGUGACCUGUAUAGUAAGGAAGGUUAAGGCAGCCACAAAGAACCAACCUGGGCUUGCUUCAGAUGGAACUAGAAACAGAGAUGGGACAGCCAGAAUUAGAAUGCACGUCACUGGGCAGAAACAUGGACAACCCACUAAAACAUGACCUUCAUGGGCGUGGAACACUCAGAUGGCUUACAGGCUGCAAAUUAGGAACAAGAUGGGCCUAAGUAAAAAUGAUGGGAACUGUCUUCUCACAAUAACCCACAGACAUUUAAAGAGGUGAGAGAUAUGGAUUUCCAGAAAACCACACAUAUUUGGGGGAAAAUAGGGGUCAUUCUCCAGAGGCUUUGAUCCAUUAGUUGGCAUUUCACAAAAGGCGGCCAGACCGUGUUGAUUCGACAACAGAGGUGUAAGCUGGGACAAAUUAAUUUACACUGCUUCAUGUGGGAAAGGCAACAAGGCCUGAUAUGUCCAUUACUAGUCUUAAGAAAAAGUAUUUGUGCAAUGUUAACACAGUUUAUACAGUUUAUGAAAUCAACAAAUGAUUUGAUCUUUUGCAAGCACCAACACCCCUUGAAUAAGCUUUUCUGAAUUGCCCUGGUCAAUCCUUGUGACUUGUGUUUUAAGUACUCUUUUUAAGUUCAGAACAGUGUAAAAUUUAAAAUCCAAGCCGUAUUUUUCUUUCCUUUAUAAGAAUUUAAGCAUUGGGCUGAUUUUAGGCCUGAAGCUUUCAUUGAUGCUAGAGUCAAUCAUGAAUGACUAACCUAGACCUUCUAGGAGGAUUGCUAAUUGGUUGCGACUCAUUACCUGGAGCUAUAAGAAUGGCUAAAAAGAAGUAGCCCCAUCUGAGGAGAGCCUUCUAUGGUCACUUCAGCCUGGAAUUCAUUCCCUUUCUCUCAACACUUAACAGCGUUUUGAUUAUUUAUUGGUAAAUAAUCUGCUAAACUCUGGAAUCUCUGAGGUAGCCCAUGGAACAUACUGGACACAGAGAAUCUGGAUUUCCCAAGGCAUCAGUGUGCUUUGGGGCCAUACCUAGAAGCUACGCACCUCAAAUUCUGUGGUUUAUAAAGUUCAAUAAAUUGUCUCUACCUAUCUGAGAUAGAGGAAUGGACUAAAUGUGAGGUAGACUUCCAAGGGACAGGACCAUAUAAGUAGCAGAUUUAUUUUAUUCAGAAAGGGCAGCCCCUCAUAUAUAUUAGAAAAAUUAAAUCACUCAUUUCUCAUAUUCCAAAUACUACCACAAAUGAAAGCUGGCCUGGGACUCUCCCUGCCCCAGUCUUCACUGAGACCCUAAGGUGAUAGAUAUGAUGCACAAAGGGGUGGUAGAUGGACCCCCCCUCUCCUGUGCUUAUAAAGACUGAUAAAAAGAAUGAUCUCAGAAACUGUUUCCGAACUCUUUGACCACUCAACCAGAUGCAGCAGAUAAAAGAGAUUACAGAGGAAAGAGGAUUUUUUUCAAGAAGAGUGGGGAGGAUUUUUUUUUUGAGAGAGUUUCCAGUGUUGUCAUUUCAUCUUCCCUUCCUGUGGGUGAGUGGAAGGGGGUGUUCAUACUCACAUAAACCAAGUGAGCAGAGUUUCAGGAAACUACUUAACACGAGCUGGGUCCCUGACUAAUGCCUGACUCUUGGGAUGGUGAAUUUGGGUCUGCCUGCAGCCUCAGGCGUCCGAGGGCCCUUUGUGAUCGCAGGAAUGCCAGCACCUCUCAUGUGAUCUGGAGAAGGCUGGCUGGCUGCCUGCAUUGGUGGUGGAAGGUAGUGGCGGAGAGACUGGCCUGCACUUUCUGAGUUGGCAAGACAAGAGAUGCAAGCGUGUCUCCCAUGAAUCACGUGAGGGAGGUGUGGAAGAGAAGACCAGUGUGGCAUUGCAUUGGGUUCUGUCCAAUAUGAUCUCCUGGAGCAAUGACACACUCAGCACCCACAAGGUACAGGUGUCCCCCAAGGGGCCAAUAAAGUCCUUUGGGAAGCAGACUAGGUAUUAAAAGUAGAAGUGCUACUUUAAGAA
rnacentral:lncRNA from 10 species